AUUGAACGCUGGCGGCAUGCCUUACACAUGCAAGUCGAACGUGAAAGGGGGGCAACCCCCGAGUAGAGUGGCGGACGGGUGAGUAACACAUCGGAACGUACCCAGUAGUGGGGGACAACCUCGAGAAAUCGAGGCUAAUACCGCAUACGACCCACGGGUGAAAGCGGGGGACCGCAAGGCCUCGCGCUAUUGGAGCGGCCGAUGUCCGAUUAGCUUGUUGGCGGGGUAAGAGCCCACCAAGGCGACGAUCGGUAGCUGGUCUGAGAGGAUGAUCAGCCACACUGGGACUGAGACACGGCCCAGACUCCUACGGGAGGCAGCAGUGGGGAA
rnacentral:rRNA from 1 species